rnacentral:rRNA from 1 species
UACGUAGGGCGCAAGCGUUAUCCGGAAUUAUUGGGCGUAAAGAGCUCGUAGGCGGUUUGUCGCGUCUGCCGUGAAAGUCCGGGGCUCAACUCCGGAUCUGCGGUGGGUACGGGCAGACUAGAGUGCAGUAGGGGAGACUGGAAUUCCUGGUGUAGCGGUGGAAUGCGCAGAUAUCAGGAGGAACACCAAUGGCGAAGGCAGAUCUCUGGGCCGUAACUGACGCUGAGGAGCGAAAGCAUGGGGAGCGAACAGG